AACGAACGCUGGCGGCAUGCCUAACACAUGCAAGUCGAACGAGAUCUUCGGGUCUAGUGGCGCACGGGUGCGUAACGCGUGGGAAUCUGCCCUUUGGUUCGGAAUAACAGUUGGAAACGACUGCUAAUACCGGAUGAUGACGAAAGUCCAAAGAUUUAUCGCCAGAGGAUGAGCCCGCGUAGGAUUAGCUAGUUGGUGUGGUAAAGGCGCACCAAGGCGACGAUCCUUAGCUGGUCUGAGAGGAUGAUCAGCCACACUGGGACUGAGACACGGCCCAGACUCCUACGGGAGGCAGCAGUGGGGAAUAUUGGACAAUGGGCGAAAGCCUGAUCCAGCAAUGCCGCGUGAGUGAUGAAGGCCUUAGGGUUGUAAAGCUCUUUUACCCGGGAUGAUAAUGACAGUACCGGGAGAAUAAGCUCCGGCUAACUCCGUGCCAGCCGCCGCAGUAA
rnacentral:rRNA from 1 species